UUAUAUGACAUUUUUUGUUUGGUUAUGCUUAUAGAAUAUAUCUACGAAAUACAUCUAUAAGGCACGUAAAGUGUGAUAGCUGGAUAUUAUCGAAAAUAUCAGUAACACAAAAACGUGUUGUUAAGACAACUUGAAAUAUUGUAGGGAGCACAAUUUUUCGUAUAAUUAAGUUCAAAAUUUCGUAUAAUCAAGGUCGUCACCUUUCUUUUAUAUAGAACUAUAUAUAUUUUGAUAUACGUCGGUGUAGUCCACAUUAAAAUCAAUUCAACGAUUAUAAUCAUUCGAGGACAAAAUUACUUUUAUAGAAAUGUUUGGAAUUUUGAACUGUAAUAAUCAUUCGUGAAUUGGUGUUUUGCUUAUAAUCUUUUGUUAAAACUAUAUUUAAUAUAAGAUAUUAAAUUUUAUAUGAUCAUUUUUUUGUAUAUGACUCGGUGAUAUCUACAUAGUAGAGGAUGUAUAGCUCGCGAUAUUAUAAUGUAUGAAAAUCUCCCACUCUUAAUUAAAGUCUAUAAAAUACACAUGAUAAGAAAACGAAGUUCGCAAACAGGAUACAAAACAAAACGAGGAAAAGGUUACCAGUAAAACUGACAAAAAUAGGUAAUUUACGUAAGAUCGCGAGUUUGUUGCUACAAAUUAAUGAUGAUUAAUUGAUUACCACUUUCUCGUUCUCUCUUUCUCCUAUUAAUUAAUAGGUUACCAAAAUUAGUAAACAAGUUACACGAUUCCAGAAUACGCAACAUGCUCAGGGCCGACCAUUUCGUAAUUACGAGUCAGACAUAUAGAAAACAUUCGAUAAUUGCACAACUGCACAAGAAGAUCCUCUGCAUAAUAGCACAUUCAUGUCAUUCCUACUAUAGGAACAGGUUACCCAAUGCACCUCGAAAGUCGACGGCUUAUCGCGAUUAGGUAAUGUAACAUGGUUCAAUGUUAAAUAUCGCUGAGACAAUAUAUGCAAAUACCAAUUCAAAAGUACAACUUUUUUAUUGUUGACUUUUUUAAAAUUAAACUUUUACUAACAUAUCUGUAUGAUUUGUCUGAUUAAAAUGAGAUCAAACACGAUAUAAUUUAAAUUAUAUGUACUUACUGAUAUUGUUACGCCACGAGGCUUAGUAUAAAUCGUAUUUCUAACCGUCGCUCGCGGUCCUACAGCGUCGUCUAAUCUGCUCGACGAAAAAUAUACAAUGUAUCGGCGACCUCAUAGUUGUCACCAAGCAGCGAGUUCCAGAGUUCGAUUUCUGUCUCUGUCUCUGUCUCUGUCUCUCCGAGAAGACAGAGAAUUGAUCUAAGGACAAUCAGUCUCAUUUGAAUAUUCAAACGACAUACAUCGACAGGUCUGACGAUUGAAAUCAAAAUCGCUUAGUCUAACGAAUUCAUUGAGAGAUAUCGUAAAGUCGGGUCGAAUUUCUGUAACGCAUUAACUGCAUUCAUCGCUAAAUAAUUUGUGACGCUUUCAUUAUUAUACAAUUUAUUGUUAAAUAUACAAACUAUAUCAACCUGUUAAUACAGUGUUAAAUUCAUUGAACCACCUCUAUUAUCUUAACCGAACGACUAAUUCGCGGCGUCGAUUAUACGAAUCGUAGCGAGAAUUUACGUCUCUCGCUGACACGUUUUCCUCGCGACUGCGUCUCUCCGCGAACGGUCGUAACAGAUAUGUAUUUAAUUAUUAUUUAUUAAGUAGGCAAAUAUGCUCCAAAUCAUAUUGUGUUUGGUGUCAUUUUAAUCAGAAAAAUGUAAGAAACGUAUUGGUUAAAGUUUCAUCGAUCACAAAUCAAAAAUAAGAAAGUUUAAUUUUUCCUGAAUGCUUUGACUCUCGGUCCCUCUUUCUCUUUGACUCGCGUAGUCCUUUUCUGUGUUCAACCCGUCUAAGAUUUCAGUUUCGAGGAAUAGGAGCAUUUUUAACUUUUUGAAUCCCGAUUUUUGUGCAAUUAUUGAAUGUUUUAUAACUAUUCAGCUUGACUUUGUUUUCGAACGUGACAAGAAAGAACACAAAGAAUGAGAAGAAUGAAUACGAGAGGCUGGCUGUCGAGCAGCAUGUAACACAUCAGAAUUUCUAAUACCAGAGUGUGAUAGCAACUAUACAUAUUCUAUUCGUCUUUUACUGAAUGAUGGCACUGUUUAUUCGACCAGAAAUAUUUAUGGUUAGCCGCUUUCACGGAUCUCUUACUCGUUCUCAAAUUUCUCAUUCUGUAGGUAAGUUUAAAUAAAGAAGAGGGAAUAUGUAGUAAGUUGCUUAUUUCGAACCAGAAAUCAGUUGCUUAUUCAUCGAAACUAACACUGUACUAUGCGGUUGAAUUUCAUGUGUUUGCAAUAAGACAUCUCCAAUAUUCAAAUUGUAUUCGUUGGAAAAAAAGAAAGAUAUGGAUUUCAUAUUCGAAGAUACAACAGUUUUUACUACGAAUAUUAAUUGACUAUGAAUUUAUAAUUAUGUUUGAAAGAGAAUUUACCAGAAGAAAUGCUGCGGCGAGGAGUAAGGUUUUGAGUUUUAUGUCCAAAUUUGAAGGAAAUGUAAUUAACAUAAUAUAAUCGUGAAGAAUAUUGUCCCACUGAUGCAUAAGGGAUGCAAUUUGAUGAGUGCCAUCGAUCGAGAUUACCUGAAUGAAAUUAAUAUACUAUAAUUAAAUGAUUUGUAAAUAAAGUAUAAGGUAGCUUAAUAAUAUCAACCACUUUGAAUAUUUUUAUUACUUCUGGAAAUAUGGAGAGACCUUAUUUACCAAAGUCUAUAACAUAUCACUGUAUGUAUAGUCAUUUUGUUUUUUUAUGAAAAUUUUUAAAUUAUAAAUAACGUCAUAAAUAAAUCUUCAAAUCAGGGCACAUGGAGCGUCGUGAGAUCGGCAUCUUUGACGAGUCGGUGAACUAUUCGAGAAGCGCGAGCAG